rnacentral:lncRNA from 1 species
AUGUGUAAUUGAGUAGAAUCUUCCAUGUCUUUAGUUAUCUUCAUUGAAGUUUUCUGUUUGUUUGCUUUUUGAGACAAGGUCUUUCUCUCUCUAGCCCUGGCUGGCCUAGAACUUGCCAUUUAGAUUAGGUUGCGCUUAGACUCAUGGAGAGCUACUUGCCUCUGCCCCAAUCAAUACUGGGAUUAAAAGUGUGCAUCACCACACCCAGCUGAGGGCAGUUGUUCAUGUAUAAAGCACCCAUAUGAUUUUCCAAGGAGACAGUGGGGCUCAGAGGAGCAGUUUAACAACCUUAGAGAAAACGUCAUGGAAAGACAGUGAGGAACUGGAAGAGAAUGAGGGGAGCCUGGGGCCAUAGCAGAGAGUGCAGAUUGUGUUGCAGGUCUUCAUUGUCAGUGACCAGAAUAAGACUGACUCUUAGCUGUUGGAGUGGGAGGAGCAUAAUGCACAUGUGCAUUCAUGUGUAGGCAUGUAUUUAUACAAAUGCCCAUGUGUCUAUCUUACAAAUAUAAUUUUAUGUGCACAUAUGUUUUUGUGUACUCACAGGAAAUGUUUACAGUGUUUCUCCUACUCGGCUUCAGCUCAGAGUUACCCUAGGGACUUUCAAUUGGGGGGAUUGAGCCAACCAGCUUGGCUCGCCAGCACCUCUGUGGGGCAUUUUCUUGAUUGCUAAUUGACACAGGAAAGCCACCGUAGGUGGUGUCAUCCUUAGGCAGGAGGCCCUGGACUGUCUAGGACAGUUAGCUGAGCAGAAGCUAGGCAGCGAGGCAGUGAGCAGCACUCCUCCAUGGCUUCUGCUGUAAGCUCUGCCUUGAGUCCUGCCCUGGCAUCCGUCAUUUAGAGACUGCGAUCCAGAAGCUGAAAUAAACUUCUGUCCAAGUUACUUUUGGCCCUGCUGUCAUCAGGCAACAGAACCCAGACUAGGGCAGUAUUGCAUGUAUAUUAUUAGUGAAAUAAAGUGUCCUAAGUCACACUGUGAGUUCUUAUUUCAUAUAUUUCUAGAAUUAUAGACUGUGUUCUUUAAGAUAAUAUUUUAUUUUUUUUAGUAUUAUGCUUUGAGUUAGGGGUCUCACUGUGUCAGCCUGGCUAGCCUAGAACUCACUUUGUAGAUCAAGAUGGCCUUGAACUCACCGAGACCCGCUCUCUUCCAAGUGCCGGGAUUACAGGCAUAUGCCAACACUGCUAGCGAAUACUAAGUUCUUACAGGUAAGAGCAGUCCUGCUAGUGGGCACGUGUAUCCGUUCCAGUUCUUAGGUCCCCAGUUCCAACUUCCAGACCCUAGAAGGGUCAUAUAGUGGUGACUGUUUCAAUCACCACCAAUAAAUUAAGAAAAAUAGUGGCAUUAAAGUUAUUGGACAGACAGACAAGUGAGGAAGGUGAAUUUGUCAGGCAAAGAUACACUCUUUAUGAAUCACACAUGUAAGUUCCAGUUAGCAGGAAUGUGGUCUAACUAACAUGUGAACUGCAGUUAGUAGGCAUGUUCUCUAACUAAUAUGUAAACUGCAAUUAGUAGGCAUGUUCUUUACCACUUAGGGAGCUUCAUUCCAAGCUCCAGAAUAAAUACAACUGUUCUGGUAUCGUUUAUAUGUUUAGGUAAUUAAAUCCAUUAUGCCAGUAGUUAUUAUUCUUAGAGCAUAUAUAAAGAAUAUGAACCCACAGUAUCUCUUUUAGGAAAUGAAUUCCUUAAUUAAACAUGUCAUCAUGUCUAGAAUUUAAUAGGUGCCUAAUAAUUGUUUGUUCAGGCAAUGAAUAAAUGAUGCAUUAAAAUGAAAUAAAUAGGCGUUGAUUCUUUUUUUCCAGAAAUAUAUUUCAUUGUUACAGAAGGAAGUAUACAUUGUUAUUACUCCCUAAAUUGUGUAUGUAGGUAGAGGCUGCUAUUACCGGACAUCAGAAUUUUAAAAUUAAAUUAUACAUGCAUAGUUUAAAGUGUUAUCAUAAAGUGAACAUAGCCUAGCAACACCACUUUGGAAUAUAUUUGAAAGGUGGACUUAUUUCACAAUAAGUAGAAAUGAUUCUGAAUUUAAAUUAGCAUUGUUUUGACUUCAGAAUCUUAGGUAAACACAGAACAACAUGAUUUAAACAUAGAGAUGGCUCUAAGGUGCCUUUCCGAGUCCCACUCCUCGUGAGGGACAGCCACAAGCAGCUUCACUUUUGAGUGAAAUCAGAGACUUUAACUGUGGUUUGUGGGUAGUAAGUUCUUUGCAGACAUCAAGAGAACCACAGGUUACAGGUUGGUGUUUGUGGUUCUUAUCUAUGGAGCCUGCGGUGAACAGGCAUAGGCCGUUCUAGCAACUGACUCUAGAAAAAGCUCUAGUCAUUGCUUUGUGGCAGGCGAGAAGGACACAGUCACAGGUGAGUUAAACCUGUGCCCCUGGACCUUGUACAGCCUUUUUUAACUGUCUUCCUCACCAGGUAGUAAAAAACUGAAGAAUCAGUUCUUGUUAGCUGUUUUCAACAAAUUUUGCAAAUGGCUAUUUUUAGACAUGCUCUAUGUAAAAGACUUUCUCGUAAAUAUAUGACCUAGAACUGUUCCAUGUACCCCAACACACUCUUCUGUAUUGCAGCUUAUAGUUUUCUUAGCUUUUCUGUGCUUCAUCUGUUUCUUAAUGUCGUGAAAAUAAAAUAGUUGGAACCAUAUUAGGGAAAGUCCAGUUAAACUGCUUGUAUUGGGUAGUGCUGGAGAGAUCUACUUUAGUUAGCUCAGACUCCAUUAAUUAAAAGAAGUAUUAGCUAAGCACUUUGUACAGGUCAGGGUUUGGUGCAUGACUGCUGGCGUGCUGGUCGACUGUAACACAGAGCUGGCCCGCUCAGAAGGUAUGUCCUUUGCAGAGCCCCCAUGGGUGAGUUCUUCCCUGCCUUAUCUCAUGUUCUUUAUGGGAAUGAACAUUAGAAAAGAAAGUCGGAAGAAAAUUUGAUUAUGGGCCAAUAAUUUUACACUCAGGAGGCAGAGGCUGGUGGGUUCCUGUGAGUGUGAGGCCAACUUGGUCUACAUUGCCAAGUCUAUGCUAGCCAGGGCUACACAGUAACAGCCUGUAUCAAAAAAUAAAUGAACAAAACAACAAGAAUAACAG